rnacentral:misc_RNA from 1 species
GAUGAAGAACGGAGCGAAAUGCGAUAAGUAAUGUGAAUUGCAGAAUUCAGUGAAUCAUCGAAUCUUUGAACGCACAUUGCGCCCCCCAGUAUUCUGGCGGGCAUGCCUGUUCGAGCGUCAUUUCAACCAUCAAGCCCUGCUUGUGUUGGGGUCCUGCGGCUGCCCGCAGGCCCUGAAAACCAGUGGCGGGCUCGCUAGUCACACCGAGCGCAGUAGCACAUCUCGCUCAGGGCGUGCGGCGGGCUCCAGCCGUUAAAGCACCCACCUUUCGCAAGGUUGACCUCGGAUCAGGAAGGAAUACCCGCUGAACUUAAGCAUAUCAAUAAGCGGAGGA